rnacentral:rRNA from 1 species
AUUGAACGCUGGCGGCAGGCCUAACACAUGCAAGUCGAGCGGAUGAAGGGAGCUUGCUCCUGGAUUCAGCGGCGGACGGGUGAGUAAUGCCUAGGAAUCUGCCUGGUAGUGGGGGAUAACGUCCGGAAACGGGCGCUAAUACCGCAUACGUCCUGAGGGAGAAAGUGGGGGAUCUUCGGACCUCACGCUAUCAGAUGAGCCUAGGUCGGAUUGGCUAGUUGGUGGGGUAAAGGCCUACCAAGGCGACGAUCCGUAACUGGUCUGAGAGGAUGAUCAGUCACACUGGAACUGAGACACGGUCCAGACCCCUACGGGAGGCAGCAGUGGGGAAUAUUGGACAAUGGGCGAAAGCCUGAUCCAGCCAUGCCGCGUGUGUGAAGAAGGUCUUCGGAUUGUAAAGCACUUUAAGUUGGGAGGAAGGGCAAUAAGUUAAUACCUUGCUGUUUUGACGUUACCAACAGAAUAAGCACCGGCUAACUUCGUG